UUGUGUAGUACAUGGUAAGUAUCCUUUUUUCCAAGUGUUGCAGAAGACAAAAGCUUCCCCACUCUCUAUUGUCCUGCAUAAUUUGGCAAUGUGUGAUCCACAUUUUUCAGAUUGUGAAAGCUUCGAGUCCCACCAUUAUCAAACUUUCUCUAGUGGCCUUUUCUUGGUUAUAAUGAAAUUGAAUUGACUGAACAAUCUUUAUCCAUUGAACAACUAGCUAUUCGUCUGCUGUCAUCUACUAGCUAAUAACUCUAUCGUUAGAAGAUUUUUACAAAUUAUUUCCUCAAUAACCUUUUCUUGCAUUGUGUGUGCUCAGAAGAGACGCGAGGGUUUUGUUGGGGGGGGCUUGCUUUCUCUAGUGUUUAUAACCAAUGCUACUUGUUGUAGUAGGAAUUGUAGUUGAUGGGAUAGUUCUCAGUUGAGCUUUUCAGCAUUGUGUUGUGGGUUUUAAAUUUUAAUCCCGGAAGGCACUUAUCUGUCAAUAUAAUAUAUAACUUUCUAUGUUUUUUCUCUAGCUUCCAUAGUUCACUAAAAAAAAACCAAACUGUUUGUAACUUUGGGAACUCGUAUUGUGUUGAAUUUGAAGUCUGGUUUGCUUGUGUGUUCCAUCAAGUUAAUCUACUCUGUGAACCCGCACAUGGCAUGGGGCACCAAGAACACCAAACUUCACUGUUCUCCUAGAUUGAUAAGUCUUUAUAAACUGUUGUUCAAACUUUGAAGCAAGGUGUUUCUAUAUUUGUAACGGGCAUGCAACGUCAAUACUUUUGUUUGAACAAUUAAUGUACUUAAAUUGUCAUAAAAAUUUGCUGCUCCUUGAUGAACCGAACACUCUUUACUGGCACAGUCAAAAAUACAUGAUGUGAAAAAGUUAAACCUGAAGAUAUAGCUACUGAUACAGAAUAUAGAAAGCAAUAAUAGUGAAAGUAUAUCACUGUAUAUGCACGAAUAUAUGUAUGCAUAUGAUGAAUGCAAUGUGAAAAGACAAUUAUUAAGGAUUUCUCAUAAUGUCUUCAUUGAUUAUUUGCUCCACAGGUGGUGGUCCGACGUACACCUGCUGGCUGCUGCCCCCUUUAGUUUGUUGCAGAUAAUUGACUUCCCGCUCCUGAAAUCCAAAUACAUCAUUAUGGGAAAAUUGAAGGUUAUAAGCUCGAUCCAAGGACAUCGUAUAUCUUUGAUCUUUCGGAGAACAGAGAUCAAGAUCGAAACUUCUGCCUGCAAGCCUGACAAGUGACUUCCAUGCAGGUUGGAUCAAUCCGACGUGUAGCCCUCUCUUUCAAUUUCUCAGCUUUGUCGACCUCCUCUCGAGCUCUCUCCCACAUUUGUCGAGCACGUGAGAAUUCUGACUGCGCUAGCUCCAUUUCUCUCCUAGUUAGUUCCCUCACACGCUCUGCAUAUGCCUUCUCCAAUGCAGCCAACCGAAUCUGCUCCGACGCUUGCCAUUUUAGUGUCUCUGCAUAUUCAUCCGGAUUCUCGUGAUCCAGAACUGGCCGGAACACCAUACAGUUAUUACUUUCCUGAGGCUUAAAAGGCCUGAGACUAAUGGACAAUUGAAGAUCCAAUGAUGGUCCCUCAAAUAGAUUGUUCAUAAGAUGAUGUUCUUUUGAUGACCUGACUUUCGUCGACGGAGAUGACUCGAGCGGCCUGCGUGAAGGAGGAGUUAUGGUACGUUGAGCAGGGAGAAGUUGCAGUUCCUGAUGAUCUUCUUCCAUUGAAAUCAACAAGAUGUAAAGGUGGUGAUGGGAAGGUUUUCUUCAGUGAUGGAAAUGAGUGUGCCUAUAUAUAACAAGCCAAACACUACCUUAAUUCCAAAACUGCCCACCCUUCCCAUGCAAAAUGGCUAAACUAACAUUAUUAGGUUGCUAUGACAUUAUUACCCUUGUUAUGUGCUGCGGUUCGUAUCAGGCGGAUUUAGCAAGAGACACGAGUUCUGCUUAAAAAUAAUUUUGAUAUUUUUUCAUCAUUAUAAAUUUUAAAAAUUAUAGA